rnacentral:rRNA from 1 species
UACAGAGGUCUCAAGCGUUGUUCGGAUUCAUUGGGCGUAAAGGGCGCGUAGGCGGCCAGCGCAAGUCGGUUGUGAAAUCUCCGGGCUUAACUCGGAAAGGUCAACUGAUACUGCGCGGCUAGAGUGCAGAAGGGGCAACUGGAAUUCUCGGUGUAGCGGUGAAAUGCGUAGAUAUCGAGAGGAACACCUGCGGCGAAGGCGGGUUGCUGGGCUGACACUGACGCUGAUGCGCGAAAGCCAGGGGAGCGAACGGG